GGUGCGGUGAGUCUCAACAACUUGGAAACAGCACGAGGGUCACGUAACAGACAAGGUAGACAAGGCAAGGAAUACAAAUAUUUCACUUUAUUUUUUUAUUGUGAAAAGUUUUCAUAACAUUACUGUGACUCACCACGACCCCGAAGCAGCACGAGAGUUGUGUAACAGACUAGGUGCGGCGAGUCACAACAAACCCCACUUGGAUACAGCACGAGAGUUGUGUAACAGACUAGGUGAGUGAAAGGAAAUACAGUGGUGUUGCUGCCACCACCCACUGUCAUCCCACGGUGCCAUACAGAGGUGGAGGCCCUAGAUGAGGAAACUCUGUCUGCCUGCUCAGAGAACGCUUUGGGGCAGGAAGAGGAACUUCUUCCUCCCCCUGAGCCUAGGGCCUCCACCUCAAGGUCAAGCCAAAGACAUGGGGUUGGAGCAGACAAUGUGAGGGCCCUCUACAAGAGGACCCUGGAGCUCUAUAUUGAGCAUAAGACUCUAUUAAUAAAAAAAAACAAGGCUGGAGAUUGAGAAACUUCAGUAUGAGAAGAAGGAAAGGGAGAACGCAUGAGGAGGAUGCAUUUUGUUUUCUAUGUUUUUGACUUUUUAUACCUUUUUUGUGGCUUGUCCCCAAAGAGUUCUUUUGUGCCAUAGUCCUUUGAGGGGGUUUUCAACAUUUCUUU